ACAUUCUGGGGGGAAACCUUGAAGACCUACGCCGCGGGGGGCCUUAAGGCCUUCGGGUCGUAAACCGCAAACAGAGGGAAGAAUAAUGACGGUACCUGAGGAAUAAAAAAGGGGGACUACGUGCCAGCAGCCGCCGUAAUACGUAGGAGGUAAGCGUUAUCCGGAUUUACUGUUUUUAAAGAGGGAGCAAGGGGUUUUUCGAGUUGGAUGUAAACUCCCCCGGCUCAACUGGGAGGGAACAUCCAAUACUGUUGAGCUAGAGGGCAGCAGAGGGAGGUGGAAUUCCCGGUGUAGUGGGGAAAUGCUUAGAUAUCGGGAGGAACACCAGUGGCGAAGGCGACCUCCUGGGCUGUUGCUGACGCUGAAGCCCAAAAGGGUGGGGAGUUUUUUUUGAUUAAAUACCCUGGUGGGCCACGGCGUAAACGAUGGGGACUAGGUAUAGGGAGGGUGGGACCCUCUCUGUGCCGAAAAAAACCCCUUUAAGGGGCCCGGGCUGGGAACUACGGCCGCAAGGAUAAAACUCAGAGCAUUUGGCGGGGGCCCCCACAAGCAACGGAGGGGGGGGGUUUAAUUUCAGGAAAUGCGGAGAACCUUACCCAGGCUUGAAAUGUUUUAAGGAGUGGGAUGAAUGGGGGGCACCUGUUAAGUCAAGAACCCACACCCGUGCCGCAUGGGGGCCCCCACUCCGGCCGAAAAGUGUUGGGUUAAGGCCCACACCGAGGGAACCCUUGGUGACCGGUGUUUUCCGGGCCGGACUGGCCCGCCAACGUAAAGGAGGGGAAGUGGCGUCAGGCCGCAAGUCUUUUAUCCCUGGCCUACCCCCCCACCACAAUGGGGGUCCAAAGGGAACAAUCCCCCAUCCGGACCAAUUUAAAAGGCAUCCCCAGUUCGGAUGAGGUGAAAUUCCUUAUAAAACAGAGUUGCUAGCACCCCAGGAACAAAUGGGGGUAUACUCCCCGGGCUGGGACACUGCCCGCCUCAGAGAGUGACACCCCCAAGUGCAGGCACCCUUAUUAAAGCGCGCCUUGCAAGGGGUCUAGAUGGAAAGUCCUAUAGGUUAUCUACGAGAUGGCUCUGCUUACAUGAUAAGGGCCA
rnacentral:rRNA from 1 species